UUGCUAGGAAAAGAGCUGUGGGAGACUCAGAAGCCGAGGACAGACGUUCCUGGUUUCUCCUAGCGUGCUUUGCUUUCUCCGGGUGCCUCAAAGCCAAGCGUUGACCUCCACCUCGUGGUUCCACGGUGGCUGCUCCUUGAAAGGCUUGGUGAUGUACUGCACUCGGAGAGAAGAGAAGGUGACAAAUGUGGAUGCUAGCCAGAUUUUUCUUUUCUUUUCUAUUUUCCUUUUUUUUUUUUGGUACCAGGAAUCGAACUCAGGUCCUUGCGCUUGCAAGGUGAAACUCGGGAGAACUGUGAGCAAAUGGAAAACCGAACACUUCCGAACUGCGAUCUGCCCAGGGCAGCAGGAAGAAAACCAGCUCGUUCAGCGCCAGCAAAUGCAGCUCAGGCUGCAGUCUUCCAGAGCCAGGAUCAGGAGCCUGCUGGCUGCAGAUCUCUGCUCCUCUGAGAAGAGCAUCAUUUCCUCUCCCUCCCCUCCUAAGGGUGACCGGUAUAAACCCUGCUCAGAGCAAUUUUAGCUUCCCCCUGUAGCUUAGAUUUCGCAUUUUAUGUUUGUUUCCGAAGUUUUCUUCCAACCCAAAUAAACACAGGCUCAGAAAUGAAGGGACUCGGGUUAUCAUUAUCUGAUUCUCCAGGGGCUGGACACCGAGGCUGGCCCCACUGGGCUGUGGGUGAUCUGGCAAGUGUGCCUGCUUCAAGGAGGGUCCUAGCAGCCAGGAAGUGGGUAGCUGUGGGCUGGGGUCACUCAGUGUCCUCACCUGUCACCUGUAGCUCCUGCAGGGAGUGAGCCACUUCUGGGCUUUCCCUACCCUUUAAGGUAGCACUACAUAGAAUCUUUCAGGAUUUUCUAUUCACAUUACAUUUAGCCUUUCUAUUUGUGUUCCCCCUCCCAUGCUGUGGGCAUUAUUACCACCCCCAAUGAAAGGAAGCACAUUCCAUUCAUUCAUUCAUUCAUUUGGAGCAUCUACUGCAUGACUGGUUCCAUGCCUGGUCCGGUACUUGAAAGCCCCUGCCCACAGGGCAAUUCAUGUCUAUCAAGAAAGCUAAUGAACUACUAAGUACAAGAGUUAGCUAAUUUAUAAGUCAAUGCAGAAUUGAAUAGAAUACAUUGUGUUUAUUGUAAUUACGCUUAAUAAAGUAAUUGUGUUUAUGACUACAUGACCACUCUCAUAUAAUACUUACUACAUGCUGGGUGGUAUCCUAAGCACUUAGUAUAUUAACUCAUUUUAUGUGUCUCUAUUUUACAGAUGGGGGAACUAAGAAACUGAAAGAUUAAAUAUGUAUUGGAAGUUCUACAGCAGUUUACUGCUGGGGGAUUUGAAGCUCAGCUAUGUAGAUGUUCAGAAUCAUCUCGAACCACACACUCUACUCUG